UGGGGAAUAUUGGGCAAUGGGCGCAAGCCUGACCCAGCAACGCCGCGUGAGGGAAGAAGGUCUUCGGAUUGUAAACCUCUGUCCUUGGGGACGAAAAAAAUGGCGGUACCCAAGGAGGAAGCUCCGGCUAACUACGUGCCAGCAGCCGCGGUAAUACGUAGGGAGCGAGCGUUGUCCGGAAUUACUGGGCGUAAAGGGUGCGUAGGCGGCUUGGCAAGUCAGAUGUGAAAUCCCCGGGCUUAACUCGGGAGUUGCAUUUGAAACUGCUAGGCUUGAGUGCAGGAGAGGAAAGCGGAAUUCCUAGUGUAGCGGUGAAAUGCGUAGAUAUUAGGAGGAACACCAGUGGCGAAGGCGGCUUUCUGGACUGUAACUGACGCUGAGGCACGAAAGCGUGGGGAGCAAACAG
rnacentral:rRNA from 1 species